CUAAGUAAACCUUAUGCCUACCAAUGGCCA
rnacentral:piRNA from 1 species